rnacentral:rRNA from 1 species
CCUACGGGUGGCAGCAGUGGGGAAUAUUGCGCAAUGGGCGAAAGCCUGACGCAGCGACGCCGCGUGAGGGAUGAAGGUCUUCGGAUCGUAAACCUCUGUCAGCAGGGAAGAACGGUCACUGUGCUAAUCAGCAGUGAAUUGACGGUACCUGACUAAGAAGCCCCGGCUAACUACGUGCCAGCAGCCGCGGUAAUACGUAGGGGGCAAGCGUUAUCCGGAUUUACUGGGUGUAAAGGGAGCGUAGACGGCUGUGCAAGCCAGAUGUGAAAGCCCGGGGCUCAACCCCGGGACGGCAUUUGGAACUGGGUGGCGGGAGUGUCGGAGAGGCAGGCGGAAUUCGUGGUGUAGCGGUGAAAUGCGUAGAUAUUAGGAGGAACACCGGUGGCGAAGGCGGCCUGCUGGACGAUGACUGACGUUGAGGCUCGAAAGCGUGGGGAUCAAACAGGAUUAGAUACCCUGGUAGUC